GGGCCCGUAGCUCAGCCUGGACAGAGCGCCUGCCUUCUAAGCAGGACGUCGAGGGUUCGAAUCCCCCCGGGCCCG
rnacentral:tRNA from 1 species